AAGAAAGAUAAUACUUCGGGUUCUCUGUCUUGCAGCUAACUAUAGUAUUCACUCAUUAAGAUCCAACCUGAGAAACUAUUCAGAAUGUAUAAAGGUGUUUCAAAUGUUUGCUGGAAAUGCCAAGAACACGAAGGGAUAUUUUAUAAUGCUUGGCAGACAUGUGAAAAGGCUAAAAGAUAUUGGCUACGUGUACAUACAUUGAUACAGCCAAUUUUAAAAGUUCAUAUUCAAUUGAAGCCAGAACUCUUUCUUUCAUAGUUAAUGGAUACACAACUGGAAAAGGAUGAUGGGAGAUUAAUCCAAUUUAUGAUGGCAAUGGUGAGAUUGCUCUAUGCACAAAGUUGGAAAGAUACAGCCUAAAGGAAUAGCUGAUAAAACUAUUGGACUCGGCUGAGGUGGCAAAAUUAACUUGUUUAAUUAGAGAAAAACCAUUACUGAC
rnacentral:lncRNA from 1 species